CUGUGCCACUGACUUAACCCAGUAGGACAGUUUUAUUGAGAAAUACAGUUCCCUAGGGUAUGAUUGCAACCAUAGUCUCAGGCCUCUUGGCAAGAGAAUUGAUGUGAGCCCAUGGAGACUAGUGAAGACAACUGAAAACUGAAAAGAAAUAAAAUGAAGAUAAAUAACUGCACUAAUGAAUUUUUUUUUAAUUUUCAAACAGAUCAGUCAUUCUGGAUUUCUGGUCCUUCUGAAUUUUAAAGGCUGCGGUGACAAGUGGACAUGCAGUGACUACCUUUUGUACCUUCCUGUUUCUGAGGUAAGAACUGAAAAUGCUUAACCAUGAACCUACUCCAGAAUACAUGAUGAUCUCACACAACUUGAACUCUCUCACUGAUUACUUGAUGAUAGUAAAAGAUCUGAUGUUCUGUGUUUUACCAGUUACCAUUUAAGUUAAAAUUGUAGAGAUGUGUCUAACAGCUACCUUCUGUUGUUGCAGGUGCCUGGAUGGAGGUUCAAAUAGAAGAUAGUGUCAGAUAUACAUUGUGUUGUCAAAAUUUUACCAUUAAAGUGCAUUACAACAUGAA
ensembl:processed_transcript uncharacterized LOC110297540